AGCAAAACAUUGAUCUUGGUAAACCUCAAGAUGCGACUCAGAAAUGGCGGGUGCUAUCAGCUGAUCAAGCUCAAGCUUCUGUCGUAGAUGUUGAUGAAGAGUGCAAACAGGUGCUCACUUCACUAAAUUUCUCCAAUGAAGAUGCUGAGAAGAUGCUGAAGAAGGCAUUUGGAUGGAUCCACUCGCCAUAUUGGAGCGAAGAGAGAAAGAAAGAGGUUCCAAGUGCUGAGGUGGUAACUGGAGUAUUAGACUACAUCAGGAGUCUUGGGCUAUCUGACGAAGACCUUCACAAGUUGCUGAAGAAAUUUCCAGAAGUUCUUGGUUGUGAUCUUGACAGGGAGGUGAAGCUGAAUGUGAGCAAGCUGGACAGUGACUGGGGAAUAAAUGGGAAAACUUUGCGGAGUCUUCUCCUGAGAAAUCCAAAAGUUUUGGGCUACAAUAUUGAUUGCAGAGGGGAUUGCAUGGCACAGUGCACCCGUUGUUGGGUUAGGUUCUAAUGUUCCAUUCUACAUGACUACAUCACUAUACAGAAACCCCAGAGGGCAUUCUGCUGGCUGUGCAGAAAUUCAGAUGACAUUUUACUGGCCAUAUUUCUGUAAACUAGCACCUGCCAAAUACAAAUGCAUAUCCGUAGUUGAUGGAUAGACACUUGUUACUUCAUGUAUGCAUAUUCAAGAGCCAUACUGUCGGUAAAAAAGUUGCAAUAAAUAUGACAAUACCUGAAUGAUCACUGAUUCGGUUCAAC
rnacentral:lncRNA from 1 species